GAAGCCUUCAUUCGUCCUAUUCGUAACGACCCCGACCUUGCGUCAGGGAAAAUGGGAAAACCCCUAAGACUCUACGGGCUGGGCGGGCCUGAAUCUUAAUCCAUAAUGAGCGAUGCCAUAUUAGCGUUUCUCCUGUCUUUAUUUAAUAACCCUAAUACGACUGCCACUUUUCAUCGAGGUUUUGGCGGCGUGGCGGGUGUCGCGUCUGCGCAACAUGACACCCGAUAACUACCAAGAUCGAGUCGUACACGCCCAUCAUCAUAAGGGCAUCCAUCCCGGUAUGGGGUUGGAUCAUAGGCCUUGGUGAUGGCUCCCCCGCAGCCCAAAAAGCGUAGGGGGGAGGGACGCCCAAUGCGGGAGUGAACUCUUCCGGGCAGGUCGGUCUUGCCGAGGUCUUUUUUGAGGGGUUGAAAGGCUUCUUCGCAGAGCCUUCUUUCUUCCUACCUUUAGCAUUACCAUUCUCUCAUCGAUUACUGCAAACUCUACCCUUCUCAGUAAACUUCUAGCUAGUGAAUCUUACCUACUAUUCUAUUUUAGUGAAGGGAAUGCUCUAGCCUCUCUGAUGCAGAUAGUUGCGAUCUUUCCCUUUGUUUAUGAUUCGAUAUGCGCAUAAGAGUAUAUAACCAACCUACCCUUCUGUAUAACCUAUGCACAUUAGUGAAGCGGCUCUUCCUUCUCAAUAAAGGCGGGGAUGGACUCUGAAAUACUCCUCCGAUCGGUUCCGACAGUCUUUUCUUCACUUUCUCUUCUCGGCAUGAUCCAAGGAAAUUUUAUUCCCAAGGACACAUCUAUACUACGCUAUUCUUCGGAUUGGUUGACCCAAUCUUCGGGAAGCGGAUACUAAAAUAAGGCUGUAUUGUAUGCGACACCGCCCUAGCAUAAAGGGGUGUAGAAUGGAAAGUGAGGCUCCCCUACAGGAGCCGAACGAUACUUCAAAAGAAGGAAAGAAAGUUAGACAAGCAAGUAGGCUGCCCCGAGCUCCGCUCGCUCCUUUACAACUACAAAGAAAAUCUAGGUAGGGGUACUGAAAAAGCAUCCUAUUAUGAAGAAUUUACUUUGUAAGAGAGUGAGGCUCCCCUACAGGAGCCGAACGUUCCUUCAACAAAAGAUGGGGAAGGGGAGGAGCGGUUAUCUAUGUAAUUACGGUCUUUGUUGGCCGUUGCUCCGGUCGAGCACUCUUUUUAAGGCUUUAAGGCGAACCGUAUGACGGCUGGAAAGAAAGACGACCUCACCUUCUCGUAGAUGGUGUUAGUGAGAGCAACUUUAGUAUCCCCCGUUGACCUUCUUUUGCAGAUAGAAUCUUCAAUGAGUGGAAACAAGCAACCUUACUAUUAAGAGUUAUAGCAGUUAGGGAGUUAUGAGUUGCUAAUUGUCAUUCUCUUUAGUUCCCUACGGGGUAGUUACAGGUAUGAUAAAUAUAAAUCUUAGUUACCGGUAUUAGAAAUAUAAGUAAUAUAAAUAUAUUGGUAGUUACAGAUAUUCUUAAUUUGGUGGAACUGGGGGGUCUGGCGCAGUGUAACUGCCCCCGGAACUGGUUUAAAGAAGAGUUAAUUGUCUUAGAAUCAAAAACAAGAAUUUGGGGUCUUCAUUAUACCGGCGAAUCGAAAAACCCCUAUCAUUGUCGGCGAACCGAGAAAAGAGUCGGCGAAUCGUUAACUGCUAUGUCGGCGAAUCACAAAAAGAAACAAACUAGCUAACAAUCAUUCUUGGCCUAGCCAGGCCCAUCUUGUCCUCUUCUAAACUAAUCAAAACAUCUUCAGGAUACAUGCAUUAAUUUCAGAAAUAAAGAAAAUAAGUUAGUUUGUAUAACUGUUUUUUUACAAUGGGGUUAGUAUGUUCAUAUAUUAUUUUCUAAGCUUUGUUUUGGGUCCACUCACCCUUCUUGUUGUUUUGCGCCCCCAGGCAGUAGACGUGCACAGGAAUCCACCACCAGGCCACUUCCCAUCUUCCGCGCCUUUCUUUGAUGUAGGCUUUGUAUUUUGUACAAAGAUUCACUCUUUUGUAAAUUCUUAGUUGUCGCUC
rnacentral:lncRNA from 1 species